GGAGGCCUGGGGUGGGUUGUCCUUUCUCCACAAGGAGAUGUCCACCCAGAUCCUCGUGCAGAGCACGUGUCGGUGCAGCUGCACAAACAUGCACUGGGGAUGUGGCAGAGCUCCUUUGCCGCCCUGGGGACAGACCAGCUGCUGGAGACCUCAGCUGGAGCCUCUUGCACUUGGCUGAGCUGGGGGAACUUGUGGCACAGGUGCGGAGGGCACGGCACUGCCUGCGGGUGUGCAGCAGCCCCUGUCCCUGGGGACAGCAGUUCUCUGGAUGGCCGGGGUGCUGCUCCCAGCCACCUCUGGGGACAGCUGUGCACUCAGCGGAGUGUCUCAUGGGCUGUGUCCUGCGGAUUGUGCUGGCAGUUGGGCUGGUGUGUGUGGAGCCGUGUGCUUGGCAGGAGUCUGCACAGUCACCAAGUCUUUGCCGGGGAGGGGCAGGAGGGACCCCUGUACCUGGCUGUCCCUUCCGCAAGGGCCGUGAAGGGGCCCGGGGCUGGCGGGGUGCAGCGCCUGUCAGCCUGCUGAGGCUGAUGCCUUUCAUCUCCGAGUUACUGGCUCGUGUCAGGGCAGAGCUGGAAAUGUCAGGGACUGCUGCAGGGUGACCGUGCAGAGUGGCAGAUGGUCAAUGAUGGAUUUGUCACUUCAGAUUCAGGCGGUUUUUAAAUAUUCAGCAGAAUCGGAGGUGACAGCUCAUGGCAGCAGGCAGAAUUUCUGUAUGUCUCAGUAAGACCUCCUGGCCCCCCUGGGAGGAGGAGCACAGCAGGACAAACCCUGGCACCUCGAGGCGGUGUCUGGGGACGGUGGCACCUGGGACUGCGCCGUGCUGGGCUGGGGCUCUCCGUGCUCCCCGUUGCUGGUGACUGUGUCUCGUGGGCACUGGGGGCUCUCGCUGGCUCUGCGCAGGGGGUUGGCACACCCCAACCUUUUGGUGAUGGCUGGGGCAGCCACAUCUUGAGGAGAGGUCUGGUGAGCAGACGUUCCUGGAGGAAGUGGGGGCCCAGGGAGAUGAGGAAGAAAGAUGUGGCACAGCCAGCCCGCAGAGCUGCCUCCGGAGGGGUGUCGGCCUGUCAAGGCAUGCACAGAUGUCUGCAAAGGCAUCCCUGGGAGAUGCAUGGCUGCAGCUGCACUGUGGAUACUGGCAGGUCAGGGAGGCGGCGAGGUCAGGGCGCUAACGAACACACUGCCCUUCGAGGGCAGCCGAUGUAUUAUUCACUCUGCAUCCUGUGUGCCGGCUGCCUAGCACAGAGCUCCUGCUCGUGUCGGCUUGAUUGGCUCUGCUGUCCUCAUGCCGCAGCUCAUCAGGUGGAGGCCCUGACUGGAGGGCACUGCCUACCGCGUGCAUUUUCAUCAAACCCUGUGAACAGUGCGAGUCCUCCUCCAGUGCUCAUGUCUGCCACGUGCACAGAGGUGCCUGCAUGGCGCAGCCUGGCUGGGGGAUGCAUGGGGUGGGUGACGCUCUGUCUGCCCUCGACUGCAGAUGGGUCUAUGGGGGCACUGCCAGUGGGGCUGAAAUCUGGUGCAACGAGUGCCCCUGAGCUGGCAGGGCUGCACCUGGUGGUGGGGCAGGUGCAGGGCACAGGAUGGUCUGUGGCACAGCCUGCAGGCUGACCUCCCACAGCCCCUGCUGUGGCAUGCUGCAGGGAGACCUGGCCGAGCAGGCAGUCCCUGUGCUGCGGACAGAGCCGUGACCUUCCUGCCCCCUGCACAGGCCAGCGUGUGCCCUUGCUGUGCAGUCCAGCCCAGUGCCAAACUCUUCUUCCUCCCUUAAGUGUGUCUCUGAUGAGCAAGCAGAAGGCAACUUGCUGGCCAGGCUUUCCUGGAAGAGCUGAGCUUGAUUCUGACUCUAGCCUGCGCUUAGAGAAACUGAACAUCAGCAGCAGGAGGGCAUGGGGAAUUCGUUUUGGUUCCUUCCACCCCUUCAGGCCACGCCUGUGGGUGCACUCCUGGUGCCAUGCACAGCGACGUACCGGCUCGCUCCUUCCUCUGCUCUUAUGGCUGCCUUAAUUUCCUCCUUCUGCCUUCAGGACUCCUUGAACUAACUGUUUCUUGGCCAUCAAACACUGAAAGGACUGCAGUCUGCUCUACCCAACAGGCUUUUCCAUUCUGGUGAUGGAAGAAGCAUGAAGCUCUCAUCAAGGAAACCACAGGCUGUAAAUCAGGGCAGGGACAGAAUCAGGCAGCCCUUGGCUCUGAAGGCGCAGAGCAGGACAUGCCAGCAGAGCUCAGGUGCUUGGUGGCAGCUGCUGCUCCAGGGCACUCGCAGUCCUGAGGGACACAGGAGGAAGUUGUUGUGAGACUCUCGCUCAAGUGCAAGGUCAAGGCUUUAACAGAGCCAGAAUGCUGGUCAGCGGUGUGCCCUGCCUGCACAGCACUGCCUGCUCGAUCCUGCUGUGCACAGGCAGCGUCACGGCUCUGCACAGCAGCAGCGUCAGGCCGGUGUCACACCGCAUGCUGUGUCUCCCUCCCCAGUGCCAGGGCAGGACAUGCCCCAGCAUGGUGCCAGGGUGGUGGGGGGCACUGCCCAUGGCAGCAGGGCUGGGCGCUCGCCUGCAGAGGGGUAUGUGGCUCCAGCUGGCUCUGAAGAGGUUAAAUCUUUCUAAUCACUCAGUAAGACCUUCUCUAAGAAUUUAUCUACUUUCUGCCUUCCAAGAACAUAUGGAUAAAAUCCCCCUGAGCGGGACUUACAUUUAUAGCAUCUAUUACUGAGAUCAAGGUUAAUCCAGAGUAAUCUAAUGGGGUGAAAAGGACUUUAGAUAAAUCUGUUUUAAUCUACAGGACAUGAUAGCCUGACAAGGCCAUCAGAAAACUCGUGCACCGUGGCGGGGGCAGGGAGAGGUGCUGCUGUUCCUUGGGUGAUGCGCAGGGAUGAGCUGGCUCGGCGAGCACCCACGUCUCUGUAGUACAGCAGCAACUGGUGAGGCUGGGAUGCGGCUUGCUGGGCUGGAGCUGUGUCGGCUGUCCUGGCGUGCAGCUGCUGCUGGUGGCUUCAGAGAGAUUUAGUGACUCUGUCCCUGUCAGGACAUUGUGCCGUGGGAUGGGGAGGCUGUAAAUGCUCUUCCUACUAGGUUGUGCACUGUCCCUCAUAGGUGUAAUUUAUCUGCACUUAGAGGGGAUGUUCAGCAAGGAGAGGCAGAAGGUGAACUCCGCACGGCUCCCAGGGCUGUGGCCACAUCCUGUGUGUGCACAGAGCAUGGGGCGCUGCCCGGCAGGCAGAGCGGGAGGACAUCCCCUGCCGGGUGUUACACUGUGCUCCUUGCUGCACCCCGUGUCUCCACGGCUGGGCCAGAGCCUGCUCUGAGCACCUGGUGCUGAGCAUGGCUCUCACCGCCUCCGCCGCCCCUGUCCUGCCGCCUCCGCGCUCGCUCCGGCUGCUCCCUGGGCGAGUCCCGCGCCCCAGCCCUGCCCGGCGCUGCCUGCCCGUGCCAGCAAGCCAGCCCCACAGACGCAGGAGGCCAAGUAAGACAGUUCUCCAGAGCGUGGUGUGUCGUUUUACAUCUGCUCAGAUGGAGACUGAGUUAUCCAGGUCCCUGAGUCCCAGACCCGCCAGAAGACAGUAUCUCAGCUAAACGAUGCAAAAAUGAUUUAAUGGAGGGAACUAAUCAAGGAAUCCAAGAGAGACUGCUCACCAAGGGCUGAUGCAAGAUUCAAUUAAACUGCAGCCUUUGUGGGCUCACCAUUUUAAUUUUCCACAAAUUAGCUUAAAAAAGGUAUGGAAAUGAAGAUAUUAGAUUUUUUUUUUUUAAGUCAAAAGGAAAAAUCCUUUGAGGAUUAUAUUAGCUAUUUCACUUUAACAAACAUCAUUUCUAUACUCAUUUUCUUGUUUUAAUCUCAGCUGUUGAGAUGCUGUUUCCAUUCCAUCUCCAGUGUCAGUGUCUGAGAACAAGAUGGGGAAGGAGCCCUUCCAGGAUCUGGUCCUGCUGCAGCCCCCUAGACCCUGUCCUGGCAGGGGCACCGCGGCAUGGGGGCACCAUGGCGGGGGCAGCCCUGCUUGGCCCCUGCGGGGCAGCCGGUGCUGCUACAGGGGCACUUGCUGUGCCCCAAAGGCAGCUCUGCCGCCUGGCUCCACCCCUGCUGUGCCCGCCUGUUUGGGCAGAGGCUGGUGGUGCGCCAGCCCGGUGCUGGGGCAGGAUGGGGCCGUGGAUCCGCUCGGGGCUGCAUCAGUUCUUGUUCCUCGGCUGCUCUAACUUCACCUGCUCUUGCCCUGAGGCAGCUGGAGAUAAACAUGGAGUAACAGUGUUGUGUGUCAGCUGUGAUUUGUCUUCUGCAACAGUGUGUCUCUCACUAAGGAUCUCCCAUGAAUAGUAACAGCAGCCGCUCCGCUGGGAUCCACUGGAUCCACUGAGCUGGUGUGGCCAUCCCCUUCCUGCCCUCCGUGGCACAGCCCUUGGCGCUGGCUCCCGUUCCCCUGGGCCUCAGCACCAGGCUUGGCUGUGGCAGGAGCGGUGCCUGGAGCGUGGCAGAGGUGGCUGGUUCACUGGCUUUGCCAGGGUGGGCAGUGUGCUUCCCACCAUCAGGAAUUGUGUUCCCAUCCCUGGGUUCACUGCUCGUCAGUGGGAAACGAGUCUGCAGCAGCAUUGCUCACCAGUGUGGGGGUUCAGGCAGGACUGCGGUGGGUCUGGCAGAGCCAGGCCACAGCCCUGGACACCAUGAUGCCCAGAAGCAUAAUCCUCAGGCCCCCCCCAGUCCCUGCCUGUCCUCUCCCAGGGUGGGGAUGGCUCCUGUUCCCCCUCUCCUCCCACUGGUGCUGCAACUCUGGUGCUGCCCACUGCAUCCUGCACCUACCGUACUACCUCCCAUCCCGCACCAUCCUCCCUGGGCUCCUCUCGCCCUGUGGCAGCGUCAUCCAGCUCCUGGGUGACCUUCAGCUCACGGCUCCUGGAAGCGCCUCUCUGCCUCCUUCCUCCAUGCCUCGAGCUGGAAAGGAGCUUCAUUUGUCACUGUCUCUUUUAAAAGGUCCAAUCUCUUCCUCGGGGUCACCUGGCUGUUCUGCCAGCAGCUCCUUGUGCUGGCACAGCUCUGCUGCAGCCAUCACAGCUGCCAGCCUGGGACACGUCAUCUUGUCCCCUCGUCCUUGGGGUCCUGCCGUAGUCCCCAUCUCCCCAGGGGCAGUGGAGCACUCAGAGCUGGGGCCAGGGGGGGAGCCCAGGGUGGCUGCAGCCUCCACCGGGUCCUGCAGCCCGUGGUUGGGGCCUGGGCACUCCCUCCUCAACCCAUGGGACCAUGGGCAGAGCAGACCCCUGUGGAGCCGCAGCCCCGGCUGGGCUGGGCUCCGGCCAGCACGAUGGGCAGCUCUGGGACAGCGAGAGCAUCCCUCUUCAGGCAAUGGCCACCCUGCCAGCCCCAGCGCUCGCCAGGGGCUCUGCCAGCCGUGGGGGGGCGCUGCAAGGCUGGGGGCAUGGGGUCACUCCUGUGCUGCCCUCCAGGACGUGUUCCUGGAGCAACAGGUUGCGAAAUAGCGGCUUUACCCGAGGGCGCAGAUCUGGCAGUGGAGGCUGUGGCCACGACUGUACUGCUCCUGCAGCCACUCCUCGCCCUGCACAUGUUGAAUGGAGCUCAAUGCAGAAUUAAUUUGUCAUAUUGACACUGAUCGUUUAUUACGGAGCAGAGUGGAGCCCAUUCAUUUGAACAGAAAACAUUUCAUCUUAUCUCCUGCCUUUUUAUGCCUCAGCUCUCACUCUUUAACCUUGGACAACGAGACAUUCAUAAUUUCCUCACUGGCUCUAUGGCUCCUUUAGAUAAGAAACUUAUUUUUUAAUCUUUCUUUCUAUUGAAUUUUAAACGUGUUCCAUUACAAAACCUGAUGCACAUAACAACACAUUUCACCCAGCAUUAAUGCAGCCACGUUGUGCUGCAGCCUCUUCUCUGAGCCAGGCUCCUGGCCCAUGGUGCUUUGUGGGGUCUGAGGGCUGGGGACCAGUGUUGCUUUGCCCACCGACCACCGGGGCUGCCCACAGAGAUGCACAGGCAGGGUGCAGGCAGGGCGAAGGCAGAAGCCGGGCAGGCUGUGGAGCUGGUUCUGCCCGCACCAGGGAUUGCAGCCCAGCGGGCCUGCACAAGAAUGGGUGGCCCGAACCACCACGGGAGGAAGAUGCUGUCGCUGGCUGAUUGUUUCCGGCCAUUCCUGUUUGCUCUAAUGUGGUCUGAGUUUGGGGGUAUUUGGUGUUCUGCAACGAUUGCUGCAGAGCGGCUGCUUGGCCGGGAGCCUGGGCAGCCCGUGCAUGAGCCCCACUGCAGCCGCUGGCACAGCAGUGCAGGGUUGGCGUGGCCCAGGGUGCUGUGGCCACAGAGGGACCGAUUGCAUCUCCAGGCCACAUAGCCACUCCUCCGACAGUAAAUAGCCCUGUCAGGGUCCAUACAAGGAGGGGCCACGAUUGCUCUCUGCAUGCAAGAGAACCACACAGAUAAGGCUUUCACCUCCAAGGCUCUGCUGAAAAAAUAGGGAUGGGAGGUAGGAGGGAGCAAAUUGAGAUAAAUGAGUGCGCUGCACGGCAUCCUGCCUACAGGAUGCUGAAAUAAAAAAUCAGUAAAUAAAAAAUCACCAGCCUUUAUCUGGUCAGAGCCUGAAUGGGCCGUGUGAUAACUAUAACAGAUGAGCCUGCCGUAAGGGCCCAGGAAAGGGACAUGGAGAGGGACGGCGGCUGCGGGGCUGUUUGCUGGGGCAGCAGUUGCCGCGCGUGGGGGGACCGGGUGGGCAGCUGUGCCACAGCUCACCAGGGCCUGUCCCCCCAAUGUGCCACACUGGUCUGGGAAGGGCUUGUCUGCUUCAUUGGUGUGAAAUGCACUUUUCCAAGUCGUCCUUCAGAGUGAGGGAAAAGGCACAUCAGAUGCCGAAUGAGCCUCCGAGAGCCAUGUUCCCGUCUCUCUUAUCUAACUCACUGUAACAAGCUCUUUGCAUUUAUUCUACCAAAUGUGCUGCAGAAUUGCGUUACAGCUCAUGGCUGCGAGCCAUCUGUGGAGAGAAAUCCAGUUAUACCUUGUAUAAUAAGUUCCUGACAAUCUUACAGAGGACUCCAGGUCAUAAAAGUCUCCCAGUUUUAUCGCCAGUAACAGACACAGAGAGAAAUUAAGUUGUCUUAUCAAAUUUAGAUAAUAUAUAUCCCUCUGGAGUGGAAGGUUUCUGAUGGGUCUUUUACAGUAUUAGAACAUUUAGAGGGGCAAGUAGAAAUGCGCAGUGAGGGUGGGAGAGCACAGGGGAGCAGGAUGCCCCGGGGCAACCAGGGAGCAGGAAUCAGUAGCUGCAGGGCAGAGAUGAGCCCUGGGGAGCCCUUGAGACAUGAGACCAGGCAAAGGCGUCUGCAGGCAGGAGCUGUGCUGAGACAUGGGCUCUGCUCCCAUCUUGCUUACCUCGAGCGCCUGCAUGCUAUCUAUUUAUGAAAGCAAUAACCUCCAGCAGUCCUGAUAUGCUAACUCCCUCCCUGCUGCCUCCUGUGCUAGUCGUUGCGGGAAGAAGGAGCCACGGGACAUUUGCCAAGUUUCUGGUCCUGGGGUCUGCUGGAAUCGGCAGCUGAGCCCCGCGGGGUGGCUGAACGUGGGUGUUUGUGCCAGGCAUCCUUCGUCCCAGGGUGCGCCGUCCCCAGGCCAGCAUACCGAGCGCCCUGCAGCUGCCCUGCCACAGCAGGCAUGGCCAAAGCGCCGGCACAGGGAUGAGGAUCCCGGGCACCGGGAAUGGUUUGCUCCUGCAGCCUUCAUGGCGAGGUGAGGUCCUGGCUCUGCAGGAGGGAACAGAGCUUUGCUCCGCACAGGCAGUUGUGUUGUGCCGUCUGAGAAGGGUGUCCUGCUGAGCCCAUGGCUUGGCCUGGUCCCCGCUCCCCUGGCUGGGUGUGAGGGCUCCUGUGGCUGGCCCAGGAUGGGGACUCUGGCCACCUCUCCUGGCCCAGGACAGGGACACUGGCCACCUCUCCUGGCCUGUGGCCCCAUGGCUGAGCAUUGCCUCCUGGGGUCACAGCUGCCCGUGGAGAUGGUGCUGAUGACUGGGGAGGGCUGGGAUCCUCCACACAUCUGCUCUCUGUUCAAUAUUUAGUUUUCUGUAAAAGCCGAGUGCAGUAGUCAUGGUAAUGAAGCGGGCAGGCCCAGCAUUGCUGCUGUGCCAUUUAUUAAGAGCUGUGCAGUCUCGGGCUCUGGGGAUGCAGAUGCAUGCCUCCCCGGAGAUCCCUGUGCUAAUACAAAAAUGAAUCCUCACUUACCAACCUCUGUAUUUUUAAAGACUGGUUACUCCAUCUUUUCCUUUUAUAUUCACUUAAAAAAAUCUAUCUUGCUCUUCAGUGCAGAAUUAUCUGUUUAGCACCAUCGUUACUUUAAUCACAAUUAGCUUUCCCACUCCAUUAAUAAGACUCUACAAGGUGCGAGAUCCUGGGAAAGAGCCAUCACAACCACCGUGGGGUUUUGCCAGGCUGGAUGCCCAGGGUUUGUCCUCCAGCCAGAGCUGAUGGUGGGUUCUCCCCAUGCUCCCCCGCAGCCCCUCUGCUCUCGAGCCCCAGGCCAGGGUGGCUCUGGGAACGGGCAGGCGCUGGCAGCGCUUCCCUGGCAGCUGCACGGCUGGGCUGGAGCCGUUCCCGCUCAUCACGGUGGGAGCAGAGGGGCUGGGAAUUAGGAUUUAACCAGAAGAGUGGGUCAAGAGCCUGCCUCGCCUCCCCACAUCUUUUCUUUAGAGCAUUUGGUGAACAAUGCACGCAGAAGGCUUUUUAUUUUUGUGUAGGAACGUGUGUCUAAUGAAUUAGCCACGGAUUGGAACCUAACAUGGGUAAUUUACACUGAACAUCCACUUGCUCAGAAUCAUCCAUCAAUUUCUUACCACAUUAAAACCGACGUCCCGCCCUGGGAGUGUGCAGCUGGUGCUGCUCCCCGUGCCUCCCUCCGUGCGCCCCUCGGCGCGGUGCAGCCCGCGGGUCCUUCUGUGAGUGGGGCCACAGCCCACGGGCACGUGGUGCCAGCGCGGCGGGGGCAGGUGGGUUUGAGCUCCGGUGGCUGCGAGUGGGGCUGGGCCCUGCAGCAGGUCCUGGCACAGCCCUCGGCACCCACGGCAGGAGUGGGGUCCCUGCGCGGGGCGGUGCUGGGGGAACUCACCUCUCUGCCCAGCAGCACCGGGGCCCUCCUGCCGCUGGCCUGUCCCCUGCUGCAGGGACAUCCCUGGGGGGGGUUACACGGGGGAAUCAUCACUGCAGACCUAAUUGCUGAGAUAACUGCUGAUUGUGGAGUUUGCAGACAAAAAUAGUCACCGAGGUCAGUCAUAAUUGGUAAAUAUUUGUCUAUCUAAUCAAAAGGCCUUUUAAUUAACAAUUUUGUUCUUGCAACUGGUUUAAUUUUUUUUAAGAACUUCUGCAGGAAGUCAAUUAGACCCAACAGAUGGUGAAGAACAUCCCAGCAUCAGCACAUCUGCCAUCUGCCACUGCUGGAGAGCGAGGCGGCCCUGCCAGACCCACAUGCCCCACAGAAGCACCCCUGUCAGCCCCACCGCAGGGCCGUGGGCAGGCAGGUUGUCCGCAACAGGAGCCAGAGGGGCCAGGGCUGCUGGAGCCAUGUGCACUGGGGCUUUCGGGGCUGCAGCGCUGCCCAGCACGGGUGUGUGCCUCCCUGGGCAGCUCUUGUGAGCCCUGGCCCAGAGUGAGCGGCUCUGCCGUGCCCGGGGGCUGCUCCUGCCCGCACGCUGCCCACCCUCCCCCUGCCGCAGGGCUGUGUCUCCGCAGGUGAGCUGGCAGCACCCGCACCUGCAGCUCUCCACAAUCAGGAGAUCGCUCUGCACAAGAGGCAUCUGACGUGUCUCUUCCUCAAUCAGCCGCUCUUCACGCCCAGCUCCGUGCCACUCACUGCUGAUUGCCCUUUGUCUCCUGCAAGGCUGCGCUCUGCGGCGGUGCAGGCAGCGGGGCUGAGGUGCUCCCAGCACUGCUCUGCUGCCUCUCCCCAUGUCCAUCUUGUCUACUAAAGUUCCUGGCGGAGGAAGAUGCUGGGGCUGUCCCAGCUCUGGAGCCUUGUCCCAGCAAGGGCUGGACGGGAGCCCCUGGGCCAGGCUCUGCUGGCUGCUGGCAUUGGCUCCACAUGGUGCAGGGUGCUACUGCCACCAAGUCCAUGCCAUGGGGAGGGGGCCAGAGAGCAUGUGUGGCUGGGUGUCCAGGUCUGUACAGAGACCCUAUGCAGGGUAAAGGGCUGGUUGUGUGGCUGGCAGGGCAGGAGGAAACGUGGGCAGGUGCCGGGCUGGGCACAGGGCAGAGCACUCGGGGCUGGGCAGGCAGCCGGGCAGGAGGGGCACAGCCGCCCCGAGCAUCACUACUGAGCCGUGCUGCUGGAAGGUGUCCAAGGGACCAGGGAGCAGACCACCUAAAUCUCUCCUGCCAGGCCCUCCAGAGAUGUCCCCCUUUAUUCACAACUGCUUUUUAAUUGCCUUUUGUCAAUUACAGUGAGAUGGAUCGGGUUCCUCGGGGAGGCAGUAAUUAGCGCGGGGAUGAAUGCAGAGGCAGCCAAGCUCCCUCUUCACGCUGCAAUGGUGAUUUGUAAACCUGUCACCCAGACACCGAGCUGGGCUCCGCCACACGGCCUCGCGGGGCAGCGGGAGCACAGUGCACAGCGGGGGGCACCCACGUCCACCCGGCCCUGGAGCGAGCGGGACUCGGUGUCCCCCAGCCUGUCCCAGCAAAGACCCUCACCAGGUCCCCUCGUGCUGCCAGCGGCAGGGACCUGUGUGACCCCCGAACUGCGCUCAGCAACACCGCCACACACGGCACCUCAGCAAGUGCAAGGAUGUCCCCAGCCAUGUCUUCUCCAAGUGAGGUUGGGACAGCGCAGAUGAGUGUCCUGCAGCUCUUGCAGGUGACAGGACAGGCAGGGACAGCCCUGAACGCUGUCUGCCCUGCUGCCCCCAGAGCUGGGGACAGGCACAGCCGAGUCCCUCCUGCCACAGGCUCAAACACCGCCUGCUCUCCCUGACUCCCCACCACCCGCCCUCUCUGCUUCGUGUCUAAUUCCCUGCACCCCUUUCCUAUUUUUCUUCUUGACAGAAGAAGCAGGCUCAUGCAUCUAGAGACUCCACAGCCCUUUCUUGUAGCUGUAGAUUAAAUUUCCCAGCACAGUGUCUGCUGGCCUCUGGCUGAGUCGCUGUGCGCGAGUGUCCUCCCCGUCCCUGGGAGCAGAGAGCAGCAGUACUGGGUCCUGAGAAGGGUCUGUACAGAGGGGGAAUUCCCUGCCAGCCUGAGUGAGCCAAGCUGAGCCCUUGCCAGCCCUCCGGGCCGUGGGCGAAGAGGAGGGGCAAAUCCCACGUGAGCCCAGCAGCCAAACUCUGCCGAGCAUCUUGCAGCUCCCGCUUCCCGCUCUGUCCUUGACCCCGGGGAGGGUACAGUGUGUGGAGGAAGCCCGGCUGCUCUAAUUAAACCGUGUUUGCAAACUCCCAUGGUAAGCAUCACUAAUUAUAAUUAGGGAGAGCAGAUCUGCCUUCCCUGCCUCCUGGAGACGUGAACAAGCUCCCUGCAUGCUGACCUGGCACUGAGGGCUGGCGCGCGGCACUGCCCGGCGUCCCCUGAGCCGGGCACGUGUCUCAGAACAGCCCGACGGGCGACAGGGACCCUCAGGCCGGGGGUGCCAUGGGGCAGCUGUCACCAACCCCUCUGCCCGCGCAUGGCGUGACUGCUGCCCCGCUCCUUCAGCACGCUCUCUUCAUGCUUGAACCAUUGGCCUAACAAUUUCAGGUUUUUCCCCAUUUUCCUGUAUUAUUAUUUGUUGUUGUUCCUGUUGCAGUUCAGUGACCAUGAAUUAUUGAAUGUCUGCUUGCUCAGUAACUCUUUACUUCCACCUCGGCACACUGCUGCCUCCCUGCCUGCUGCCGCGGGACCCCUCGCACAGACGAGGGACUGCGGGCAAGGGGCUCAGCAAAGAGCCUGUCCCGGGCUCCGCUCUGCUGGCCAAGGGGGCUGGGGAAGGGCAGGAGCUGCUCAGCUGUGGGAGCCCUGGGCAAGACAUGAGACACACUGGGAUGCACUGGAUCACACUGGGGGGCUGUGUGAGCAGCAGGGACAGCAGCUGGAGCUCACCUGUGCCCUGAGGGGGUGUGACCAGGCCAUCAGGUGCACAUGGGGCUGGUUGAGGGGAGUGCUGGGCACACCCCUGCCCAGCUGCUAAGAGGAGCAGAGAGGAGCCCUGCCUGCUCCUCUGGAGAGGUGCUUGGUGUGGGGAGCAGCAUGGUGCAGGAGUCCCUAGGGUGUGAUGGUGCUGCACUGCCAUGGGUGCCCAUGCUGCCAGCUCCAUGCAUGUUUGCCAUGCCGAUGCCAUGUGCUACAGCUGUGCAGGUCCUUAAUGAAAACACUGAGCAAACCAGAACCAGGCUGAGCCCUUGGCCAUCCAAGCAGCCCGGCAGUUGCACUGCAGUUGCCAUCCUUGCUGCCCAGAUGUGAUGGGAGAUGAUGCUAGAGCUUUGCCAUGUUGGCUGUACCUUGCUGCAGUCCCCAGUUCACCUGAGGCCUCUCUGCUUUACUGCCCAGGCUGCUCUGCUGGGGCAGGGACUGUUCCUGAGGCUGCACAGCAGAGACCCAGAGCCACCCUGUGUCCCCAGGCCACCAGCCGUCUCUUCUCUCUAAUUGAUUGUAGAAAGCAAUUUACAAAAUACAAACUGCUGCCUAUGCCAAG